UGUGUGUGUGUGUGUGUGUGUGUGUGUGUGUGUGUCAUCGUACCUCAUCAUGAUCACACUCUACCAUGUUCAUUCUACCAGUGUGUGUGUGUGUGUGUUUCCUGGCUCGGUGGUUGACUGGCUGAUUGUUAUAAUGACACUUUUGAUCGGUAGCCUUGUUUUUGAACGAUGCAAUUGGUAGUCGUUAGUUACAGUGAAACCAGAUGGACGAGACUGUUUUUUGCUAGAUUUUGCCUUCCGCGGGUCCUUCGGGGCCUCAUGACCGUGCAGUUGCGGCGCCAAAACAAACUCCCCAAUAAUCGUAAUAGCGCGGGUCCUCACAUCGACUGUUUCCAAAGGCCAAAAAAAGGAGAUCAACCGGGCUCUAAUAAGUGUUUUUGUAGGUUCAUGGUGCAGAAGAAGGGUCAAACUGCCACCAGGGUCAUAAAACCACCCCUGGAAAUGCCCACAACUCCUACGAAAGCCUUGUCAAAUGUGUGUUUCUUAGGUUCAUGGUACAGAAGAAGGGUCAAACUGCCACCAGGGUCAUAAAACCACCCCUGGAAAUGCCCCAAACGCGUACGAAAGCCUUGUCAAAUGUGUGUUUCUUAGAUUCACGGUACAGUAGAAAAGUCAAACUACCACCAGGGUCAUAAAACUACCCAUGAAAAUGCCCCAAACGCUUACGAAAGCCUUGUCAGAUGUGUGUUUCUUAGAUUCACGGUACAGUAGAAGAGUCACACUACCACCAGGGUUAUUAAACUACCCUUGGAAAUGCCCACAACUCCCACGAAAGCCCUGUCAAAUGUGUGUUUCUUAGGUUCAUGGUACAAAAGAAGGGCUAACUACCACCAGGGUCAUAAAACUACCCUUGGAAAUGCCCCAAACGCCUACGAAAGCCUUGUCAGAUGUGUGUUUCUUAGAGUCACGGUACAGUAGAAGAGUCAAACUACCACCAGGAUCAUAAAACUAUCCAUGAAAAUGCCCCAAACUCCCAUGAAAGCCUUGUCAAAUAAGUGUGUGGGGCGUCGAUAGGAUUAUAAAAACAUGACCCAGGGAGGAAAAGGACCCACGGAAACCAACCUCAAAAUGACCUCGCUAAUCUGGUAUCACUGUAUAGACAAUUUUUGAAGGACUGGGUUGAUGACUUAGAUAGAUACGUAUGUUUUUGAAUUGGUUGUUUUUACCGUAGUUGAAUCCAUAUAUUAUUUUUUUGGUGUAUGUAUGAAAAAAAAGAGUUUGAGACUGAAAAUAGAUUAGAAUAGAUUAGUUCCAUAGUGAUCGUGUUUGCAUAUUUGAAAAUCGUAGGAGUUAUUUAUAUAUAUAUUUUUUGUGAUGUAGAUUUUUUAUAAUGAAUUGUGUGUUAGUUUUUUGUUGCGUUUCUCUGUUUUUUUCUUAUAUUUUUUUUGCUACAGUGUGUUAGUCGAGAGAAGUAGAGAAAGAUGAAGAGAAACGUAGAGGAGAAAAAGAAGAGAAAAAACGUAGAAAUUAGCCAGAGAAAAAAAAAUAGUUACCCCCCAAGAAAAGUAGCGUAGAUUAAAGAAGAUAAAAAAAUGUAGAAAUUAGCCAGAGAAAAAAUAAUAGUUACAACCUCAAGAAGUAGAGGAGAAAAAGGAGAAAAACCGUGGAAAUUAGCCAGAGAAAAAAAAAUAGUUACCCCCCAAGAAAA